rnacentral:rRNA from 1 species
UUGUGAGGUUAAGCGACUAAGCGUACACGGUGGAUGCCCUGGCAGUCAGAGGCGAUGAAGGACGUGCUAAUCUGCGAUAAGCGUCGGUAAGGUGAUAUGAACCGUUAUAACCGGCGAUUUCCGAAUGGGGAAACCCAGUGUGUUUCGACACACUAUCAUUAACUGAAUCCAUAGGUUAAUGAGGCGAACCGGGGGAACUGAAACAUCUAAGUACCCCGAGGAAAAGAAAUCAACCGAGAUUCCCCCAGUAGCGGCGAGCGAACGGGGAGGAGCCCAGAGCCUGAAUCAGUGUGUGUGUUAGUGGAAGCGUCUGGAAAGCCGCGCGAUACAGGGUGACAGCCCCGUACACAAAAAUGCACAUAUUGUGAGCUCGAUGAGUAGGGCGGGACACGUGGUAUCCUGUCUGAAUAUGGGGGGACCAUCCUCCAAGGCUAAAUACUCCUGACUGACCGAUAGUGAACCAGUACCGUGAGGGAAAGGCGAAAAGAACCCCGGCGAGGGGAGUGAAAAAGAACCUGAAACCGUGUACGUACAAGCAGUGGGAGCCUCUUUUAUGGGGUGACUGCGUACCUUUUGUAUAAUGGGUCAGCGACUUAUAUUCUGUAGCAAGGUUAACCGAAUAGGGGAGCCGAAGGGAAACCGAGUCUUAACUGGGCGUUAAGUUGCAGGGUAUAGACCCGAAACCCGGUGAUCUAGCCAUGGGCAGGUUGAAGGUUGGGUAACACUAACUGGAGGACCGAACCGACUAAUGUUGAAAAAUUAGCGGAUGACUUGUGGCUGGGGGUGAAAGGCCAAUCAAACCGGGAGAUAGCUGGUUCUCCCCGAAAGCUAUUUAGGUAGCGCCUCGUGAACUCAUCUCCGGGGGUAGAGCACUGUUUCGGCAAGGGGGUCAUCCCGACUUACCAACCCGAUGCAAACUGCGAAUACCGGAGAAUGUUAUCACGGGAGACACACGGCGGGUGCUAACGUCCGUCGUGAAGAGGGAAACAACCCAGACCGCCAGCUAAGGUCCCAAAGUCAUGGUUAAGUGGGAAACGAUGUGGGAAGGCCCAGACAGCCAGGAUGUUGGCUUAGAAGCAGCCAUCAUUUAAAGAAAGCGUAAUAGCUCACUGGUCGAGUCGGCCUGCGCGGAAGAUGUAACGGGGCUAAACCAUGCACCGAAGCUGCGGCAGCGACGCUUAUGCGUUGUUGGGUAGGGGAGCGUUCUGUAAGCCUGCGAAGGUGUACUGUGAGGUAUGCUGGAGGUAUCAGAAGUGCGAAUGCUGACAUAAGUAACGAUAAAGCGGGUGAAAAGCCCGCUCGCCGGAAGACCAAGGGUUCCUGUCCAACGUUAAUCGGGGCAGGGUGAGUCGACCCCUAAGGCGAGGCCGAAAGGCGUAGUCGAUGGGAAACAGGUUAAUAUUCCUGUACUUGGUGUUACUGCGAAGGGGGGACGGAGAAGGCUAUGUUGGCCGGGCGACGGUUGUCCCGGUUUAAGCGUGUAGGCUGGUUUUCCAGGCAAAUCCGGAAAAUCAAGGCUGAGGCGUGAUGACGAGGCACUACGGUGCUGAAGCAACAAAUGCCCUGCUUCCAGGAAAAGCCUCUAAGCAUCAGGUAACAUCAAAUCGUACCCCAAACCGACACAGGUGGUCAGGUAGAGAAUACCAAGGCGCUUGAGAGAACUCGGGUGAAGGAACUAGGCAAAAUGGUGCCGUAACUUCGGGAGAAGGCACGCUGAUAUGUAGGUGAAGUCCCUCGCGGAUGGAGCUGAAAUCAGUCGAAGAUACCAGCUGGCUGCAACUGUUUAUUAAAAACACAGCACUGUGCAAACACGAAAGUGGACGUAUACGGUGUGACGCCUGCCCGGUGCCGGAAGGUUAAUUGAUGGGGUCAGCGCAAGCGAAGCUCUUGAUCGAAGCCCCGGUAAACGGCGGCCGUAACUAUAACGGUCCUAAGGUAGCGAAAUUCCUUGUCGGGUAAGUUCCGACCUGCACGAAUGGCGUAAUGAUGGCCAGGCUGUCUCCACCCGAGACUCAGUGAAAUUGAACUCGCUGUGAAGAUGCAGUGUACCCGCGGCAAGACGGAAAGACCCCGUGAACCUUUACUAUAGCUUGACACUGAACAUUGAGCCUUGAUG